rnacentral:lncRNA from 1 species
AGAAAAGAAGGAUGAGAAAAGGAAGAAAGAAAGGAGAGAAGGAGGGAAGGAAGAUUGUCCUUUGGCCAUCCAGGGACCCGCUGUUGCAAAGGCCUUGUAUCUGGGACAGUUUUCACAUCUACAGCUCAGUGCCAGGGCAGACCCUGCCUGGCUCUGAAUCCCACCUAAGUCCCAGCCCCCCAGAGCAAACACAGAGCCGACAGCAGCCUGGAACAGACGCCUUGAUUUACAGUCAAGCGGUCCCUUCCUUCCCCGCCCCUCCUUCCACCCCAAUCACCAGUACGAAACUGAAGAGUUGCAGUUGUACAGGCAAAGAGAUUGGACAGACUGACUCGACUUGAACAGAAUCUUCUUUCUGAAGCUGGAGCUCCGGUGGUGCAUACAUUGCUUGUCAC